GUGCUCUUCGAUCUGGAGAAUAACCUUUCUUUCUCCAGGGCCCCAUGGAAGACACCCAGUCCGGGGAAGAAGAUUGGGAAGAAGAAGAAGUUAAUAGGCCAAUAGGGCACAGAGUAAUAACCAGAUGGCAAGAAUUAGAACGUAAGGGUAUGACUGAGUCCCAGACACUAGCGAUUAUCCUGUAGGGUGGAUAGCACCAGUAGUAAUAAUUCCUCACCCUGCCGCUCUUAAAACAUGUGGCUCAUGU